GAUGAACGCUGGCUACAGGCUUAACACAUGCAAUUCGAGGGGAAGCGACGGGGAAGCUUGCUUCCCCGGGCGUCGACCGGCGCACGGGUGAGUAACGCGUAUCCAACCUGCCUCUGACUGAGGGAUAACCCGUCGAAAGUCGGCCUAAUACCUCAUGGCAUCGUCUGCGGGCAUCCAACGACGAUUAAAGAUUUCAUCGGUCAGGGAUGGGGGUGCGUCUGAUUAGCUAGUUGGCGGGGUAACGGCCCACCAAGGCGACGAUCAGUAGGGGUUCUGAGAGGAAGGUCCCACAGAUUGGAACUGAGACACGGUCCAAACUCGUACGGGAGGCAGCAGUGAGGAAUAGUGGUGAAUGGGCGAGAGCCUGAACCAGCCAAGUAGCGUGCAGGAGGACGGCGCUAUGGGUUGUAAACUGCUUUUAUGCGGGGAUAAAGUGAGGGACGUGUCCUUCAUUGCAGGUACCGCAUGAAUAAGGACCGGCUAAUUCCGUG
rnacentral:rRNA from 1 species